GGUGGCUCAGUGGAAGAGUGCUUGCCUUGCAUGCACGAGGCCCUGGGUUCAAUUCCCUAGUACCA
rnacentral:tRNA from 1 species